UUUUCUUUCAUCUUCCCACCUUUUUUUUUCUUUUCCUCUUCCCCCUCACCCUUUCCGCCAUAUUAUUCCCCCCUUUUCCCGCCCUUUUUCACCUCACGUUUUCAGCCCUUUCCCCCUCACUUUAUCUGCCUUUUCCUGCCCCUUCCCCAUCAUAUUCCUCACCUUUUUUUGUCUCCCUUCCUCCCUGAUCUUUCCCACUCUUUUCCACUCAUCUUUCCUGACCUUUUCCACCUCACAUUUCUGGCCCUUUCCCCCUCAUUUUUAUCUACCUUUUCCUGCCCCUUCCCCAUCAUAUUCCUCAUCCUUUUUUUGUCUCCCUUUCACCCUGACCUUUCCCGCUCGUUCUUGCUCAUCUUCCUACCCUUUUCCACCUCACAUUUCCAGCCCUUUCCCCCUCACUUUAUCUAUCUUUUCCCGCCCCUUCCCCAUCAUAUUCCCCACCCGUUUUUUGUCUCCCUUUCCCCCUGAUCUUUCCCACUCGUUUUUGCUCAUCUUCCCACCCUUUUUCACCUCACAUUUCCUGCCCUUUCCCCCUCAUUUUAUCUAUCUUUUCCUGCCCCUUCCCCAUCGUAUUAGUCAUCCAUUUUUGUCUCUGUUUCUUACUCUUUUUUGCUCAUCUUUCCCACCCUUUUCCACCUCACAUUUCCAGCUCUUUCCCCCUCAUUUUAUCUACAUUUUCCUGCCCCUUCCCCAUGACAUUCCUCAUCCAUUUUUGUCUCCCUUUCCUACUCUUUUUCGCUCAUCUUUCCUGACCUUUUUCACCUCACAUUUCCUGCCCUUUCCCCCUCAUUUUAUCUACCUUUCCCUGCCCCUUCCCCAUAAUAUUCCUCAUCCUUUUUUUGUCUCCCUUUCCCCCUGAUCUUUCCCACUCUUUUUCACUCAUCUUUCCUGACCUUUUCCACCUCACAUUUCCAGCCCUUUCCCCCUCAUUUUAUCUACCUUUUCCUGCCCCUUCCCCAUCAUAUUCCUCAUCCUUUUUUUGUCUUCCUUUCCCCCUGAUCUUUCCCAACAGCCCCCACAGACCUCAGGGGCACUUAUAGCCCCACACAGCCCCUCCAUGGAAGGCUUAAAAUCAAAGUUUUCUCCUCCCUGUUCCUUCUGCUGAUAGAGAAGGAAAACCACAGCUGCUAUCCCAUGACUGGUGGAGCCCGGCCAGGGCUGGCCUCUAACAGAGGAAAAAACCCAAAUCUCCUCCUCUCUUCUCUGUCUCUCUGGUAUUUCUCCUCCUAGCUGAAUACCAAACUAGCUUUUCUAUGAGCAGUUUCAGGUCGUUUGUGUAAAAAUAGCUCCUGUUGUUAAAUCCCAAAGAAGAUUCGAGCCCCUUUUGCCAUAUGUCUGCUCCUGGGCUCCACCAAAGCACAGCUGGGGGAAACCACUGCCUUCAAGGCAUUCCUUGAUACAGAACCUCAUAUCUCUAUAGCCACACAAGUCAGUUUAAAGCCACAUAAAGCACCCCAAACCUCCUCAAAACAUCACAAGAAGUCAGCAGGUCUUGGGAGGUGCUGGACAUAAUGAUGGUCUUUGAACAUCCCUGAGCUAGUUGCCUUCCAGGAGGGAUUUAUCCAGCUGCCAGGAUGAUGCCAUAGGGAAAGCCACUCCUCCCAGGUAUCCUGUUCCUGCACUCCCACUGUUAAGGCACCAGGUCAUUUACGUGCCCUGCCAGAGCUCAUCUUCUGGUGUGAGCACCCAAACUGGGGAGGGAAUGGCAGUAUGGAAAACUGAGAGAUUGCCUAGAGCCUCAGUGCUGCAGCCUGGGCUGUACCUUUGCAGGAUACAUUAAGAUGGGUAAAACUUCACAAAGAAUAAAAAAAGGAUCACAUUCACCCAAUAAUUGCACAAGUAUUUUCUGGCUAGUGAUAACCUCAGCAGAGGCCAGGCUGGAUGCAGGUCCUCCUAAUUAAAGGGCAAUAAGCCUGAUGGACUGAUGAAUCAGAGCUGCCAUGUCAGAUGGCCAAACCCCAAAUUUCCAAAGAAUUAGGUUGCUGUGAAGGCAGAGAGGGAACCUAAUGCAGAUUAACUGUGAAAGAAAAGUUGGUGUUUGUGGGUGGUGCUUGUUGGCAACUUGCCCUCCCUCUCCUUGCUGCUUGGAGGACCAGAGACCCCUGAGUGUUAGAUAAAAGAGGAAAAACCACACACAGAUUAAAGCAAGACAAGCCAAGCUUUGGGACCCAUCCGUACAGAGGAGGAGCAGCUGCACAAAUUGCCACGGGACAUUGAGGACAAGACUUGGAAAGAUUUUUUCAUCCUCUUGUGCAAGGCAUCACCUGGAAGGCUCUAAAACAAGAAGACAGAGUAACCCAAAGCAAAGGCUGGCAAGGCAGAUCUGAAGAAAAGGCCACACAGAUCCCAGCUGCAUCCUGGUUACACUGCUGUUGGCAGACUGGAACCACUGGUGGAUGCAAUUCUUCAUUACAAUAGCAACUGUAGCCUCAAGUUCUUGCUUUACUGAAUCUCAGAAUUGCCUGGGUUGGAAGGGACCUUGAAGACCACCUUGUUCUAUCCCCCUGAGAUGGGGAGGGACAUCUUCCACUUGACCUGGUUGCUCCAAGCCCUGCCCAACCUGGCCAGGAACAAUUCUAGGAAUGGGGCAUCCCAGCUGAGCUCUGCCCAGCAGCUGAAAACAUCUGGAAAGACCUUUGGUUUGGAUGCUGCUUCCCACAUAAUGCUCCUCCAUCAUAUGUAUUUUAUC